UCCAGGUCUAACAUUUGACCCGACCCAUAUAUGGAAGAAGAAAAGUUUCUAAAAAUUAAAAUAAAGGCAUCCUCUUGCAUAAAGUACUUUUUACUCUUCACCAUCCAAUUUUUCCGCCUCCACUCCAUGUUCUUCUUCGGUGUCAAUCGAAAGUUUGUGUUGUAUCUGCUAUGGGUAAUCUUCAAGCUCAAUCCUGGUGUUGCUAUUUUUAUGCUCUUUGUAUCAUCUUUACUUGAAUCUGGUAAGUCCUUCAUCUCCGCUCUUCUUUUUCUGCUCGUUCUUGACUGGGCUGAUUUUUUAUGUUGCGAGAGUUUGAGGUUCAUCCCCAUGGUGUUAGAAGUAUUUGGUCUGUGUGUUUCUCUUCCACUGUUUUGUAGAUGUUAUUGUAUCUUAGAUGUUAAGAAGACCGACAUGCUGUGAAGGGAAGCUCCAUCUACCUUUAUUUUUGGUGAAGGUUUUUGGUAGCUAGAACGUCUAGCUAGUGUUAGCACAGUAGAGUAGUCAAUGCUAAUGCUCAAACAAUUUUGUGCCCUUGUUUAUAUCCCGUGGGCUUAUAAUAUUUGGGACCCCCUACUGUUCUUUGCUUUAUAUGUGACUUCUUUUUGUUCCCUUACUUGUUAGUAUUAUGAAUGUGUGUUGAUCUUCAUUGUUCUAAUCCUCAAAUUAGGGAUUUUUGUUUUGUC